AACGGACAUCAGGAGACCAACGUCGUAGAAUCAUUGGAUGACCGCGGAUAGUCCAGAAUCCUUCGAGGAUUCGUUGUAAAUCUUCUUCAGAGUAUAGCUUGCAAACAAAGAAUCCGUUCUCCAGCAUAUGAAGAUCAAAUGACGAUAUUCCCCAUCGAGUUUUGAUAAAUGAGGAUAGUGGGAAAUAAGAUGUUUUGAGACCUACCACAUAGCCAACAAUCG
rnacentral:lncRNA from 1 species